rnacentral:rRNA from 1 species
CCUACGGGUGACAGCAGUGAGGAAUAUUGGUCAAUGGACGAGAGUCUGAACCAGCCAAGUAGCGUGAAGGAUGACUGCCCUAUGGGUUGUAAACUUCUUUUAUAUGGGAAUAAAAUGUUCCACGUGUGGGAUUUUGUAUGUACCAUAUGAAUAAGGAUCGGCUAACUCCGUGCCAGCAGCCGCGGUAAUACGGAGGAUCCGAGCGUUAUCCGGAUUUAUUGGGUUUAAAGGGAGCGUAGGUGGAUUGUUAAGUCAGUUGUGAAAGUUUGCGGCUCAACCGUAAAAUUGCAGUUGAAACUGGCAGUCUUGAGUACAGUAGAGGUGGGCGGAAUUCGUGGUGUAGCGGUGAAAUGCUUAGAUAUCACGAAGAACUCCGAUUGCGAAGGCAGUUCACUGGACUGCAACUGACACUGAGGCUCGAAAGCGUGGGUAUCAAACAGGAUUAGAUACCCCUGUAGUC